rnacentral:rRNA from 1 species
UAGUGGAAGCGUCUGGAAAGUCGCGCGAUACAGGGUGACAGCCCCGUACACAAAAGCGCAUGUGUUGUGAGCUCGAUGAGUAGGGCGGGACACGUGGUAUCCUGUCUGAAUAUGGGGGGACCAUCCUCCAAGGCUAAAUACUCCUGACUGACCGAUAGUGAACCAGUACCGUGAGGGAAAGGCGAAAAGAACCCCGGCGAGGGGAGUGAAAAAGAACCUGAAACCGUGUACGUACAAGCAGUGGGAGCCCCACCACCAAAGCAUUCUCUGGUGUUGAAGGCCCUGCAAAGCAGCAUCGCGGUGGCGGAGCGUCGUUUGCGACGCCCAACACAAAAAACAAGCGGUGAGUGCUUUGGGGUGGGGUGACUGCGUACCU